GUCCACGCCGUAAACGAUGGGUACUAGGCGUCGGGGGAGCGACCCCUUCGGUGCCGUCGCUAACGCAGUAAGUACCCCGCCUGGGGAGUACGGCCGCAAGGCUGAAACUCAAAGGAAUUGACGGGGGCCCGCACAAGCGGUGGAGCAUGUGGUUUAAUUCGAAGCAACGCGAAGAACCUUACCUGGGCUUGACAUGCUGGUGUAAGCCGGUGGAAACAUCGGUCCCUCUUCGGAGCGCCAGCACAGGUGCUGCAUGGCUGUCGU
rnacentral:rRNA from 1 species